CCUACGGGAGGCAGCAGUCGAGAAUCAUUCACAAUGGGGGAAACCCUGAUGGUGCGACGCCGCGUGGGGGAAUGAAGGUCUUCGGAUUGUAAACCCCUGUCAUGUGGGAGCAAAUUAAAAAGAUAGUACCACAAGAGGAAGAGACGGCUAACUCUGUGCCAGCAGCCGCGGUAAUACAGAGGUCUCAAGCGUUGUUCGGAAUCACUGGGCGUAAGGCGUGCGUAGGCUGUUUCGUAAGUCGUGUGUGAAAGGCGCGGGCUCAACCCGCGGACGGCACAUGAUACUGCGAGACUAGAGUAAUGGAGGGGGAACCGGAAUUCUCGGUGUAGCAGUGAAAUGCGUAGAUAUCGAGAGGAACACUCGUGGCGAAGGCGGGUUCCUGGACAUUAACUGACGCUGAGGCACGAAGGCCAAGGGAGCGAAAGGGAUUAGAUACCCCAGUAGUC
rnacentral:rRNA from 1 species